CCUCCAUCUCUGCAUUCUGAACCGUCGUCAAGGAAAGGUGCCUCUUGGUUGCCCUGGAAACCAUGCCUCCCAGCAUGCUUUGUGGAAAAGACGUGCAAAUUCUGCGACUCCAGCGGCAACGUCAUUUUGCUGUUGAGGGGAAUGAGCAGGAUAAGUGGCUGCCAUGAUUGGUUACAGCAGUGGCAGCCUAUGUUCAUCUUGCUCCCCUCUGUGCUUGCUCAUGCGAGACGCCCUGAGAGUGUGUCCUCCUUGGAGAAGACAUGUGUGUCCACAGAAUACGACCGCAGCGAGCCAGCAGCUGUCCAUCCCUCUCCCCACACCGCGCUGCAAGGACGGAAACACCAACAGCCCAGUCCAAAUUCAGCUGACAACACUACAGAACUAACAGAUGUUAUGAAUCGAAACAUAUUACUUAGAGUCCUUGUUCAGGCUCGAGCAGAAAUCACAUCAUGAUGAAAAAGGGAAUUCAAACAUAUUUAUGGAUAAUUAGAAUAUUCUAUUUGCAGCCGGUGUUAUUUUUGCUUUCUGUUGAGCUCAUUCUUUGUUGUUUGAGAAAAAAGUGAUGCUGUAUGCUUUCAUAUUUACAUCAAACCAGUCCCCAGGGCUGCACUGUGCCGAAUAAUAAUAUGAAAUUGCAUAACCCUAUGUCAUCUUUAUUCCAAAAGUAUCUCCACCUCUCCCCUCGUCUUCUGUAACAUGGGUACAAGUAACAGUAAUUUAUUUGAGCCUCUAGACAGAAUGCUAUCUGUAAUAAGCAGCUUUGAUGAAAAUAUGUAUCAUGAAUCAAGGGCAAGCCUGAGAAAUGUAUUUCUUUUAUCUUAUAUGACUCACUGUAAAACACUACCAAUAAAAGUGUCUGCAUGCUCUUUUCCUGUAUCUCUGUGUGUGUGUGUCCCCCUCCUCCUCCCCCUGUAUGUGAUUUAUAAUGGCGUAGUCUUAGCGAGGACCUUUGGAGGCAGAUCUAGGGGAAUUGGUCUAAUUUGCGUGAACUGUUGUUGAUUUAUAGCCCAGCCAGAGGUUAAUGAUGGUGUCGCUCAUUGCCGCUUGUUCUUUCCACUGUAAUGUCAUUAUAAGGAGGCAAUGCCAAGACCCCGCGGCAUUGUAUCCAUCGUUUGUUUCCUCACAGUGACCCCACUCUCCUCCGCUCUCCUCCGCUCUCUGCCACUCACCCGUGACACCUCAUCACACCUCACCUACACAGUCCCUCACUGGAGAUGUACUAGCGAGGUUGAUUCUUUAUGAACACACUAUUUUGGACAAACACCUUCACUGAGUACUUAGCUUGGGUACAGCUAGAGAAAACAUGAAGGAGCCAGUACCCAAUACAAAUACACUCCAUUACAAGUAAAAGUAAGUGUUAGUAGCAAAAUGUACUAAAGUCAUCGCUAUGCAGAAUGUCCCCUGUUAUUAUUAUAUACAUGUAUUAAUAUGUAAGCAUCAUUUAUAUAUUAUAGCUGAUGAGGUGGAGCUUAUUGUAACGACAUUAUGGGUCUUUAAAAAUACAGUAAUAAAGUGUUCUAAUAAAGUAUUUUAAUUGUUCACGUUUUAU
rnacentral:lncRNA from 1 species